UAAAUAUAUUUAAUAAACUUACAAUUUAAGAAUUUAAAGAUGAAAACCUGUGAUUUUUCGUGGAAAUAUUAAAGGAAUUCUUCGGGUUCUCUUUGUAAAAGAUAAAUUUAAAAUCUAAAAUUUAAUUUAGUCAGGAUAAUACUAUCAAGUCAAUCAAUCAAUCAGAUGUGGGUCCGCCCUUUGAUUGGAUUAACACCUAACAUUGUAGAUUAUAAAAAAUUAAAUUAAACAAGAUUUUAUUUUAUAAAACAAUCCUUUCAUUUAUUAUUAAUUAAAAAAAAUCAGAGAAAUAGACCGCGUGGAACAUCUGCAUCCACUGCCAAACUCAUUCCAAAGGCCGUCGGCGCACCUCGCCUUUAUUUCAUUGAAGAGCUCUUUGAAAACGCCUAACUUCUCAUCUUCUGCAACGUUUUGUAACUUGCUUCAAAGUUCAUAAUCAAUGGCUUCUUCUAUGCGUUUCUCUGCUACUUAUUUGUCUACAGCUUUUCACGCUUUUGCACAAUCCAAAACACACCCAACUUCUUCUUCUUCUUCUUCAUGGCCUAUCUUGGCUUCUUCAUCGAUUCCAUCCCUCAAAUCUUCACUUGAGUCCUCUAAAUCCGCCUUUUUGCAACAUGAGUUCUCUCUGCAAUCCGUAACUCUUCCUGGGUUUUUCAUUAAAGCUCGUUCCUUCGGUGUUUUUGCCAGAGCUGCUACGGAGAUAUGACUUUACAUGACUUCACCGUUAAGUUAAUUUGUCUAUCUCUCUCUGGUUGGAUCUCAUACUGCAAAUCAAAUAAGGAGGCAAACAAUUGAUAAACAUUCCGAACCUGAGUCACGACUUCGUGAUGGCGGAAAGGCUCUUACGCAACGUGUUGGAAAAUUUCUCCAAAAUGCGGAACAAGAGUUGAAUGCAAUAACUACUUUUGAUCAAUUGAUUGAAGCAAAAGUCAAAAUAGAUGUAGUCAUGUUUCUUGCUCGUUUUUCUACUGGGAGACAUGUUGGGCUAGUUGCUGAAGACUGUUUUGGUAUGUCAUGGUGGCUUCUUGAUAGUUUGCAUCUACUUUAUGUUUUCAUUUCCAUACAAUGGUCCGAAGCCCAUGAAUAGGGAUGGCAAUGGGGAGGGGCGGGGAGGGGAUAUCAAUCCCCGUCCCCGUCCCCGUAGGGGAUAUCAAUCCCCGUCCCCGCCCCGUCCCCGUUACGGAGAUAAAAAAGAAUCCCCGUCCCCUCCCCGCGAAGGAAAAUCUUCUUCCCAUCCCCGCCCCAUCCCUGCGGGAAAAAAUCCCCUCCCCAUACCCGUAAAUAUAAAUUUUAAUUCUUUUAUGUCACUUUCUUCUUCAGGUCCUCCAGCGCCGCCUUCAACUGCUGAAGCUGCGGCAUACUUAGCUCAUUCACCGGAUUCGCCCACCAGCACUGCACCUGAGUCGCCUUCCGUAUCUGAUUCAACUCUUCACCACGCUUCUUCUCCGCCUCCAACUCGCUCAUCACCUGAAAUAGUCAUGUUUAACAUUUAUUAUAUCAUCAAGACUCCUCCAUGGCAAAAUAAUAAUAACAAUAAAAACUGUUUAGCACAGGUGUUAGGGUUUAUCUCGGAUUUUAUUUUGCCCCUUGUUAAUUGCACAACUCUACUCUGGAGCACAGUGAUUGGAUCAAGGGAUUCCAUUUUCGAAUCUGGGUAUAUAUAUACAUAUAUUUAUAUAUAUAAACUUGGGUGAGUUGCAUGUUGAGCUCGCGAACGGUGGCGUUGCGGUGAGCCUCAAUGAGUUGAUGGGUGCCGGAGACCGGAGGGGUGGAUUGGGUGAGAUAACGGUCGAUGACCGUCUCAACACAAGGGUGGCCAAAAGAGAAGACCUUUUUGCCGGGGGAGAAGACCACCAGGGCGACUUCAGCACCGCAGAGAGUGCAAAGUUCGUUGGCCUUUUUGAAGAGGCCAGAGCGGCGUUUCGAGAAGGUCACCUGGAGAUUGCUUUCAUUAUUCAUUUUCACCAUCUCCACCUUUUGGCGACCCUUGCGCGUUCUUCUUCAGGGGAUGGGCUGGGCCGGGCCAGGGCGAAGCGGGGAGGGGAGGGGCGGGGCGGGGCGGGGACAUAUGUAUCCCCAUCCCCGCCCCUUUCCCCGUUUUUAUCGGGGAAUCCCCUCUCCGUUAGAGUCGGGGAGGGUCGGGGCCCCUAAAAUCGGGUUCAAAUUGUCAUCUCUACCCAUGAAUACUCGUCAGCUUUUCACCUUGAGGAUAAAAUAAUUCUCAAUAAGUGGGACAAUGUUAGGGUGUAUGCGGAGACGCUAAAUGCAAAACAACAAAGAGGAAGGUUCAAUUGGGUCAACAAACACACAUGACAACUAAAGAGUGGAGCAGAUGACAAUCUAACAGCUAAAAGGCAAAGAAGUGGAGCAGAUGGCAAUUUCACAGUAGAGCAAGGACCACCAAAUUUUGAGAGAGAACAUGGCAAUUCAUGGGAAGGUUUGACUGUUAUGAGGGUAAAAGGAGAAGGGAAGGAGACAAAAAGAAUUAACAGAAUAUUGUGAAUAAGUUGGGUUAAGGGUGAGCUCCUAUCUGUUGAAAGUUGGAAGGAGGUUGCUGCAGUAAUUUCGGGGUUUUACCUAAGAGAUUUCUGGAUUUUAAUGUCAUUGUUUCUGGUUUUCUUAUUUAGCAGAGUGGUGAAUAAGAAAGCUUGAUGUAAAAACCUUUUUCUUUUUGGAGAAAUUAAAAGAUUUCAUAAAAGAAAAAAUAUAGUACAAAA